GGGUACUACCUACUGCAGAAUACUCCUUCACUGUCAAAACGCUACCAGAUCAAUUAUCUGGCUAUGCCCGUUUCAAGUUGUUUUAUGUAGAUGAGUGAAACUAACUGUAACAGUAUAGAAGAUAAAGGUUCUUUCGAUUCGACACGGUCCGGUAGCUGUAGAUAUAAUCGCAUUCCCGUAAAUAAUUGUAAUUUUACAGUAAUUUUUUUUAAAUUUUCUUAUUGUAUAUAAGGAUACAUACGCUUAGAUUGAAAUUGACUUUUUUCCGAAAGUAGAGCGAAUUCAGUUGUUAUUUUUUGCAAACCUGUAGAACACCUGUUCAAAUUAUCUUUGCGAUAUUUGAAGUAUCGUAGCUACGUGGCAACAUAAGGUGCUAA